rnacentral:rRNA from 1 species
CGGACGGGUGAGUAAUGUCUGGGAAACUGCUUGAUGGAGGGGGAUAACUACUGGAAACGGUAGCUAAUACCGCAUAACGUCGCAAGACCAAAGAGGGGGACCUUCGGGCCUCUUGCCAUCGGAUGUGCCCAGAUGGGAUUAGCUAGUAGGUGGGGUAACGGCUCACCUAGGCGACGAUCCCUAGCUGGUCUGAGAGGAUGACCAGCCACACUGGGACUGAGACACGGUCCAG